CUACGGGUUGCACCAGCUGAGGAAAUUUUACAAUGCUCGCAAGAGUGAUAAAAUAAACCAGAGUGUUUUUCUAUGAAAAACUUUUGUCUGAUGUAAAAAGUCAGACGAAUAAGGACUGGGCAAGACCGGUGCCAGCCGCCGCGGUAAUACCGGCGGUCCGAGUCGCAUCCACAUUUAUUGGGUCUAAAACAUUCGUAGCUUGUUUUGUAAGUUUCUUGUGAAAUCUCAUGUCUCAAGCAUGAGGCGUGCAAGAAAUACUGCACUACUAGAGACCGGAAGACGUAAGGAGUAUGAUUAAGGUAGUGGUAAAAUACGUUAAUCUUAAUCAGACUAACAAUGGCGAAGGCACCUUACGAGUACGGAUCUGACAGUGAGGGAUGAAGGCUAGGGGCGCGAAAGGGAUUAGAUACCCCCGUAGUC
rnacentral:rRNA from 1 species